UCCUUUGAGCCUAACUCUCCUCUAAAGACC
rnacentral:piRNA from 1 species